CAGGAAUUAAAAAAGAACGAACACAUCUGCUGGAUCUGAGCGGACCGGCCGGCCGAGCGUCUCGGACCCGCACAAACACACACAAACACACACUCACACUGUGUUGUGCGUCUUCUCCGGGCAACAGACGACAACACUCGGCCGCCAGCAGGAGCCAUGUGGUGCCGUAUUGUUUAGAGCCCUUUUUCCUGUUUCUGGAACAAGCGCUUCCCUUUGAAACCCCAGACUUUAACGCCAGAAACAUUCCGCCGCCAGCGAUAACACCUCUGCUCAGCAGAUCCCUGCUCCGGCCUCGGCUCCGGGCCGGGCCGGGCCGGCCCGGGCCGUCCACACACACCCCGGUGUUCGUCCUCUCGCACGUCGCCUUUUUUUCUGAUCUAUCGGAGCUCAAAGAAAAUGAAGAAAUGGUUUUUUUAUCGGCGUCUUGAAAGUUGCAGUGACCCUGAAGACCAGUCACGACCUCACCAGAACCAGCAGAACCCUCACAAUAAUUAUCCCAUAUGCAAAUCAUAGUGUGUGUGUGUGUGUGUGUGUGUGUGUGUGUGUGCGAGUGUGUGUUGUUUUACAGCCAUUAGGCUGGAAGGAAACACUUUUCCUUCUGAGUGUAUUUUAAGGAUUACGAUAAACACACCCUAACAAGGUGCCAUUAUCGUUAACACACUCUCACACACCUCACACACACACACACACACACACACACACACCUCUGUUGCAGAAAGGUCAGACAACACUUUGGUGCUAUCAGGACGCCGUCAAGAACAAAUACACGAACAGUUCUGGACGAUUUCACACAAAAUCUUUGUGAGACUGAUGAAAAUGUCCCCACAAACAUGUGAAACAAAUGAAAUAGUAAAGGAACAACAAAUUCGGGGUGUUGCAUCACCCUGAACAGGCUGACCACAGUGGUCAUGUGACAUCGAAGCAAGUCGCCUGUCAAUCAUCCUUUUAAUGGGAAACACAAGCCAUGUCCUCGUCAAACUUAGUCAAACCAUGGACAGCCAGUCUGGAUACUGGGUCUAUCAGGCUGUAACUGGUCGUACUGGGACAGAGAGGACGAAGACGAUUCCGAACACGAGUGGAUCGUUCGCACGUGUCGGCGAGCCUGAGACGGAGCUGAGAAAAAGGCUAAAAUUCAUUAAAUUUAGCCUUUUAUUUCCAUGUUUCCAUGUUUUCAUAUUUGAAGAUGCGUCUGUGGGUUUUUUCCACUGUAUUAAAAAAAUUUUAAAUUCAUUUUGCAGUUGUAUAAAUGAUCUUUUCCUCCCGCCUAUUUUAAACUACAUCCCCAAAUUACAC
rnacentral:lncRNA from 1 species